UACGUAGGGUGCAAGCGUUAAUCGGAAUUACUGGGCGUAAAGCGUGCGCAGGCGGUUUUGUAAGUCCGUCGUGAAAGCCCCGGGCUCAACCUGGGAAUUGCGAUGGAGACUGCAAGGCUAGAAUCUGGCAGAGGGGGGUAGAAUUCCACGUGUAGCAGUGAAAUGCGUAGAUAUGUGGAGGAAUACCGAUGGCGAAGGCAGCCCCCUGGGAUAACACUGACGCUCAUGCACGAAAGCGUGGGGAGCAAACAGG
rnacentral:rRNA from 1 species